AAACCGACAUUUUUUGGUAUUUUUCACGUCGCCAAAAGUACCCUUUAAACCACAAAGAUUUGGUUUUUCUUCAAGAUCAAUUGAAUAAUUUGAUUGAAAUGAAAUUUGUUGCUCCACGCUGUGCCUUAGUUGUUUAGAAUAACUAGACAUUUGAAUACAUUAGAAAUAGCACAAAUACUUCGGAUAGAACAAUCGGUGAAUGGUGAAUAGUCAACUGAUAAUACAGAAAUACAAUAUUUAAAUUUAACCUAUCAACGAAGAUCAAUUAACUUCAUUUAAGACGUUUAAAAGAUGCUGUCAAGUAGUAAAAAUACUACGAGAACAAUAUUUGAAUAAAUUGACAGUAAAUGAAAUCCUACACCAUGUGAAAAUUUCUAUAAUUAUUACUGAUGCUAGCAUGACUCAGUUUCGAUAACUGUUCAAUGUUAUUUAAUAGAAAUGUAAAGGGAUAAAAUUAUUGGUGGCACCCCAAAUGAAAUUAGACAAAAAUAAAAUCAUUCAUAUGAUUUGUGGCAAAAAUAAAAGUGAAAGCAUGAUAAUACAUAUUUUUAAAACAACAUUUUUUUUGAGAACGUUAUUUAUGAUUGACAAAUAUAGAAAUGAUCUCAGUGCAUAGGUUUAUUUGUCUCCUUUUUAUUACUUAGGAGUAGAAUGUACUGUCCUAGUCCUUGUACUUGUAAAAUUACGUUUGAAGGACCAAUGUAUUUGUAUCGCGUAUAUUUGCAUGUUUAUACUGAUAGUUUUUGUUUGCCCAUUGUAUAUCUUCAUAUCCUCUCUUGGAUUAACUUGAACAAGAUCUGUAUAUUAUGCAGAAGCAG
rnacentral:lncRNA from 1 species